UGUGAGUAGAGGCCUAACUCGGAAUUUACUAGCUGUGCAGUCACAGGUAGUUCCUUGUGGUCUCUGUUUUUUAUCUCACAUGGAGAAAGAACAGUGCUCUGACUUAGGCAGAGCAAGCACUCUGAGAAGCCUCACUCACAGAGGAGGAAACUGAGGUCCAAGAUGGACUCUCUGUAUCUGUGAUUCCAUGGCCCAACUGUCCAGAAGCAGAACAACCUCGACUCCAAAGCCAAGGCCCUCCAGGAAGCCAGAAAGAGCUCAGUGAGAGCAAGUGACUUUCCCAACAUUAUGGAGAGAGGAGGUGCUGUUACUGGUACCAUCCUGGACCAAGCAUGUCCAUACGAGUAUUUCAUUACCAUUCUAAAAGUGUUAUCGGACUUCGUUGCCUCCUUCUUCACCAACCUAUGAUCGAUCAGCCUAAUAAAUGGAGCAGAGCUUGAAGAAGGCAUAAACAACAGGGCCCAUAGGAUUUAAGUGAUUCACUGGAGGCUUCGAGCCAGCAAGUGGCAGAGUGACGUUUGGUCUAGUUCUCCGGAGUGCAGCUUCCUGGUCCCUGCUC
rnacentral:lncRNA from 1 species